GAUGAACGCUGGCGGCGUGCCUAAUACAUGCAAGUCGAGCGAACAGACGAGGAGCUUGCUCCUCUGACGUUAGCGGCGGACGGGUGAGUAACACGUGGAUAACCUACCUAUAAGACUGGGAUAACUUCGGGAAACCGGAGCUAAUACCGGAUAAUAUAUCGAACCGCAUGGUUCAAUAGUGAAAGACGGUUUUGCUGUCACUUAUAGAUGGAUCCGCGCCGCAUUAGCUAGUUGGUAAGGUAACGGCUUACCAAGGCGACGAUGCGUAGCCGACCUGAAAGGGUGAUCGGCCACACUGGAACUGAGACACGGUCCAGACUCCUACGGGAGGCAGCAGUAGGGAAUCUUCCGCAAUGGGCGAAAGCCUGACGGAGCAACGCCGCGUGAGUGAUGAAGGUCUUCGGAUCGUAAAACUCUGUUAUUAGGGAAGAACAAAUGUGUAAGUAACUAUGCACGUCUUGACGGUACCUAAUCAGAAAGCCACGGCUAACUACGUG
rnacentral:rRNA from 1 species